rnacentral:rRNA from 1 species
GACGAACGCUGGCGGCGUGCCUAAUACAUGCAAGUCGAGCGGACUUCUUAAGGGCUUGCUCUUAAGAGGUUAGCGGCGGACGGGUGAGUAACACGUGGGCAACCUGCCCGACAGACUGGGAUAACGCUUGGAAACGAGUGCUAAUACCGGAUAGGCUUUUCCUUCGCAUGAAGGAGAAGAGAAAGAAGCUUUCGCUUCACUGUCGGAUGGGCCCGCGGCGCAUUAGCUAGUUGGUGAGGUAACGGCUCACCAAGGCGACGAUGCGUAGCCGACCUGAGAGGGUGACCGGCCACACUGGGACUGAGACACGGCCCAGACUCCUACGGGAGGCAGCAGUAGGGAAUCUUCCACAAUGGGCGCAAGCCUGAUGGAGCAACGCCGCGUGAAUGAUGAAGGCCUUCGGGUUGUAAAAUUCUGUCUUCUGUGAAGAACAAGUGUGAGAAGGGAAUGCUCACACCCUGACGGUAACAGAGGAGGAAGCCCCGGCUAACUACGUGCCAGCCGCCGCCGUA